UAAAUAGUGGGUACUGGAUUCGGUAGCGGAUGUAAGAAGUUGCUUGCGGGUGAGGAUAGGUAAUUAAAUUUAAACCUGCUUCAGUAUAGGGGAGGGUAGAAUAGAAUUUUCUUUUUCAUGGGGGUAGUUGUAGGGGCUGAAUGCCUGUAUUAUACCUACCUUGUGACCAUCACUAGUUGCUCAAGAUCCUGGGUCUCUGUCUUGAAUAUAUUUACAUAAAUUUCUUUGAAUGUGAACUUCAUUGUUCUUUGUCAUGGGUGUGGUCUAAGGGAGUGAGGGUGUUGACACAGAUUGAGGAGAUUUGGCAGGUGGUAUGGAUUUGAUUCGUACUGAGACUGUGUUGGUGAAGUCAAGUAAAAAUAAGUCUUAUCCUUAUCUUAAAUAGAUGACAUGGUCUCUCUCUGAAGAUAGGUAGAUUCAUAUAUGGUUUUUUCUUACUAAAAGUAAAAUCAAUGGAGGCAAAAGUUUUCUAGUAGGUGGAUGGUAAUCCUUGUGCAAUUUUUGGGUUGGUGAAUAACCAAAGAAUAUACACUUGUAUACCAAGAGGGUGCAACUUGUAUACAAAAGUAUUUACAGUUUUAACAAAAUGUUUAUAAAGUCUCCAAGAAUCCACUAGAAUAAAGAAGAUGACCCCUAACAAAAAGCUUAUGGUUUGGGAUCAAACAUCUUUAGAUCUAUCAAAAUUAGAGUAUGCCCUCAAAAACUCUUCUAUUUCUCUCUCUUCUGACCCCUUUUGAUGGAUCGCGUUAUGGGCGAGUAACUACAGAAUCAAUAGGUAUAAUUGCAUAGAGAGAACCCUAUGAUCUCUAGAGUAAAAACAUAUUCUUCAUUAACAUCAAUUUCAUAUCAUGUUGUCUUCAUCCAGAGCACAGGUUAUGUACAAGAGAGGAAGCAAUAAUUCUAUAAUUAGAAUUUCAUGAUUGCCUAAACUGCCAUUGUCUCAUAACAGACUUAUUUCUUACCCUAAUACACACUUGACACUUCAUUUUUAUUUUUAUUCCUUCUUUAUUAAACCUGCGUGUAAGGAACCAUUUUGUUCCUAACAUCACUUUCUCCCUUGAAUAGUGCUUGUCCUCAAGCGCUAAGUUAGGAUAGUGUAGUUUCAUGUGAUUGGCAAGCUCCCAAGAAGCAUCUACAGGAGAAGACCCUCCCAAUGAAUGAAAACCUCAUGCUGUCCGUUAUGA
rnacentral:lncRNA from 1 species